rnacentral:misc_RNA from 1 species
AACCUCUGAUCAUUUCUAGCAGUUUUUUGUGGGCUCUGCCUCAAUUCUAUGAGCCGUAAGUAAGCAUCAAUCGCUCUUUCAGAUAAUCCCCGCUGCGAAUUGGAGGAAAUCUUUGGGGCCUGGAUUCACUGCAACAACUUCCCAAACAUUGCACAAUGCAUUCUGUGUUAGGAUCUAAGAAGAAUGCCAGAGAGUAGCGUUCUUGUCCUGUUGGCAUCACUCUGUGUAGCGUGGACCGAAACAAACAAUUAGUCCACCUCUCCAUCAUGUCCCCAAUGUUAACUAUGAAGGCCCCAUUCAUAUGGAACACAUUUUCCCAGGUCUGUGGAUCCUUGAAUUUCUCCCUACAAACCUGAAGUCCUGGCACACCAUCAGUCACCAGAAGAGUGAUCAUUCCAUAAUCUGAAUGUGCUGAAGCACCAAAUAUUUGUUCCUCAAAAUGCCCCAGUUCACCUGGAUAAUGUAAGAGGCGAAGAAAGCUUUCUGGUUCAUC